CUCCCCUCUGUGUCUCAGACGGGAACGCGCACGCGCUUGGUUGGUAGGGUCUGUGCUGUGCAGGGUUGUCAUGUGACGACUCUGCGAGCCCAGGCAAAGCAAGGCAAUGCAAAGCAAAGCAAGACAGUUCUGGGAGAGAGCAAAACGCCAGCUUCAUAGAAGAACAGCGCAGAGUUAUUGAGAGCAAGGUAGAAGGACAGUCGCUUUGCGAGAGAUUAGAGUACGUACACACAGAAACAUAGUACACACAGCACGCUCUGGGAAACACAGGAAAAAGGGACCUUUAAAAGGCCUUCUAUAUACAUAUAUAUAUAUAUUUUUUAAACUAUCUGUCAUUGAAAAAACGGGAGCUUAUUCUGAGUUAUUUGAGGAAAUAGCGAGCUUAUAAUAAAAAGAAACUACCUCAUCUCAUUCCUCGUUUUUUAAUUGUAUUUUAUUUUACUGAAGAAGAACCGCAUCACAGUGAGACUUGACAGAAAAAGAAAGACGAGAAACGCAGGGGAGGCUGAGGCUGAGGCUGUUGGCUGGAGGAGACAGCAAGGGUGUGAGAUAUACCGCUUCGUUUUUGGACUUUAAAAAUAUAUAUAUAUAUACAUAUAUAUUUUUUUUGUUUCUUGCUUUGGGCAAAGUACUUUUUUUUCUUUUUUCUUUUUUCUUUUUUUUUUGGAAUAUGGUUGGGGAAAUGGAAACGAAGGAGAAGCCGAAGCCGACCCCGGACUAUUUGAUGCAGCUCAUGAAUGAUAGGAAGCUGAUGAGCAGUCUGCCAAACUUCUGUGGGAUUUUCAAUCACCUCGAAAGGCUUCUGGAUGAAGAAAUAAGCAGAGUACGGAAAGACAUGUACAACGACACAUUAAAUGGCAGCACAGAGAAGAGAAGCUCAGAAUUACCUGACGCCGUGGGGGCAAUUGUACAGUUACAAGAAAAACUUUAUGUGCCUGUAAAAGAAUAUCCAGAUUUCAAUUUUGUUGGAAGAAUCCUUGGACCCAGAGGACUAACAGCAAAGCAGCUGGAAGCAGAGACGGGGUGUAAGAUCAUGGUCCGAGGAAAGGGCUCAAUGAGGGACAAAAAAAAGGAAGAACAAAACAGAGGCAAGCCCAACUGGGAGCAUCUGAAUGAAGACCUGCAUGUAUUAAUCACAGUGGAAGAUGCUCAGAACAGAGCGGAAAUCAAACUGAAAAGGGCCGUAGAGGAAGUCAAAAAGUUAUUGGUACCAGCAGCAGAGGGUGAAGAUAGCCUUAAAAAGAUGCAGCUGAUGGAGCUUGCAAUUCUUAACGGCACGUACAGAGACGCCAACCUCAAAUCACCUGCCCUUGCCUUUUCUCUUGCAGCAACAGCCCAGGCUCCUCGGAUCAUUACAGGGCCCACGCAGGUUCUCCCGCCCGCAGCCCUGCGCACCCCACCAGCCGGCCCGACCAUAAUGCCUUUGAUUAGACAGAUUCAGACAGCUGUCAUGCCAAACGGAAGCCCUCACCCGACUGCUACCCUAGUCCCUCAGGGACCAGAGGCAGGACUAAUCUACACGCCCUACGAAUACCCAUAUACACUGGCACCAGCGACAUCCAUCCUGGAGUACCCCAUCGACCAUAGUGGAGUAUUAGCUUCCUCAAAGGCUGAAGAGCUGCCACUGUACUUUGGGUUCCAUACCUGUCACAUUCCAGUCACAUUCCACCGAGGAGACUCCUCCUCCAGGGUUUCCUUUUAAAGAACAAAUCUGCACUGUACACCCCACUUAAACUGUCCAAACUUUCCACAGUAGGGUCAUUUCGGAGAGCUGCCAGCUUCAACCUAACACCGUGAUGCUCUUGCAUCAUUGCAAUUUGUUGAAUGUUUACUAAAAUAAAAGGCUGCUUUUCCAAUGCCCACAGCCAUAAAUGCAUUUUUAUUUGUGUGCAUGUCAGAGUUAAAAAAAAAAAACAACAAGAAAUAAACAUCAUGGCAUUGAGCCACAUGGCAGCACAAACUCCUGGAUGAUAUCCUUCUGUAACAGAUGCAACCAUGGAUGAGCUUUAGAUUUGCUCCGGGGAUUUUUUUUUUUUUUUUUGCUUUGGGUUAAACGUGAGGACAAAUUGAAUGUUACUACACAGAGGAUGGACUUCUCCAGAGACUAAUUGACAUUCCCUUCCUUUAUUCUUUAGGUAUGGCUUUCCCAACGAAAGGCUAAGCAUUCAAGAAUGGUCUUACUGAACCCUCAUCAGAUCUGAGUUUAACACAUACUUAGUUUCACAGCUGCCUUGAACGAAAUGAGCUCAGCCUAGCAGUCAGUCAGACACAUGCACAAGAUAACCCAUUUAAAAAGAGUUACUACUGAAACCUACACUGGCAAUAUCUUUUGUAGAAGAAAAAAAAAUGCAAUAUAAAAAAUAAAUCUCUGCAUAGUGUUUCAUUGACUACUAAGUUUUGGUAAAACAAAAUAUUAAAAUACUGUGUUGCUUUACUAAUCACCUAAUUCAUUGCAAAUUCUACUUAUUGGCUUUUAACCUCAAUGUUAAGUUGUGGGCUAAAGAAACUACUGCAAAAGUUAAAAACUGGAUUGGGUCUUAGACCAUUUCAGAGAAUAAUCAGUAUUAUUAUUAUUAUUAUUAUUAUUAUUAUUAUUAUUAUUAUUAUUAUUAUUAUUAGUAGUAGUAGUAGUAGUAGUAGUCGUAGUAGUAGUAUUUAAAAAAAUAGAUAACUGGAAUCACGGAUCUAGUCCUGUUGCACUCCAUUGAUUAUGUGACUAGUAAAGCUUAAAUGUGCCUGGGUCCAUUCCAUGUCAUUAAUACUGUACUUUGGGAUAAUACAACAAUGGAUCCAACAGGUUAAGGUAACCUUUUUGGAAGUGACUGCUACUAUGUUAUAAACUAGCAUAGAUAUUCUCAUAUAAACUAUUGUGCCUUAACUUGUUAAUCUUCUUUUUUUUAUUGCAUACUUUGUAGUUAUUGUUGAUUGUUAAAUCCUUUUUGUGAUAAACCUGCUGUUGUUUGAUGAAAUGUUAAUGAACAGUUUGUAGGUUGAAUUAUUAUCUAACCUUGUCUUGGUAAUGUUGCAAUUUAACCAGGUGCGGUGGCUACUAAAGUUCGAAGGCACGAUAUGCGGGUCCAUCCUUACCAAAGGAUUGUGACCGCAGACAGAGCCGCCACUGGCAACUAACCUAUGACCUUCUGACCUCUGAACUCUUCACCCAAUGAUGACCUGACCAUUGCCUGCCUGCUGAUCAGUUAACUGGUAAACGGCUUUGCUUGAGAAAAACACAAAAACAGACAGACAGACAGACAUUCAAAACAAGUCCAACUUGUCAGCUUUUUUUUCUGGUUGGGUGAAAGUGGUUCUGGACCCUGCACUGAAUAGUAGUAAAGCAAUAAGGUCCAAUUCAUUCCCUCAGCAUAUCUCAUCAUUCUGUGGCCAAUCCCCCACCCCAGAAACAUGUAGAAGGAUGGGAGCCACUGGUCAUUUCUUUCUCUCAGAGGCAGUUACUGUGAGACAACGACGGAACACUUCAGCUCAUGGUGAUGUCAUAAUCUCUGAAUGUAUCGUGUUGCAAUGGUGCAUCAUGCAUGAACCUUUUAUCAGUAAUUCCAUUGGUGGAAACUUUUUUUUUUUCAAGUAUUCAAAAUUUGAGUAUUCAGUAUUGCUGCCCUCACAGGCAAAACAAAAAAGAAAGAAGAAAUAUUUGGAUGUUGCCUGUCUCUUCCUGAAAUGUAUUGAGUGCCAUUACUGGACAAAAUGUAUGAAUACAUAAGUGCGGCGAUAUUGUAAUGGGAGGAAAGUAGCUUUAAAACAUAGAGGUUUUGUGACAGCAAAGGUACAUGCAUUAUGUGUCUCAUUACUGGGCAAAUUGUUUUCUAAAAAAAAAGAUCCUUGUAUAGAUUUGAUUUCUUUAAGGAUGUAAAAGCCAUGCUUGCCUAUUUGCUGUACACAUGUAUUGAAAUUGUAGAUAAAUGUAUUGCGUUGAGAAACAAAAACAAAAACAAAAAACUAGAUACUUUUACUAUACAAGGGUGCUGGUGAAGAAAAAGAGAUAUAUUUUUCAAAACAUGAAGCCUUUUAUACUUUCAAGUAUUAUAAAAAAAAAAAAAAUGAACAAAAAAUUGAACAAAGAAACCCUUUAUUUCAUUAAAAUGUUUUUUCAUGGUUUGGGAGAUACAAAAGACCAAAACAGCCUUUUCUUUCUUUCUUUCUUUCUUUCUCUUUCUUUCUUUCUUUCUUUUUUGUUAAGCAUCAGAAUAUGUCUAAAGAAUGAAAAGUGCCUUAUUUUGUCAUGGUCAUUGAAUCUGAAUGUCUCAUAAACCAGUUCCUAUCCGAAUACCAAGUUAACACAUGCCACUUUGCCACCCUGUAUGUUUCAAGGAGCUGGGUGUGAAUAAAAAGGAGCUUGCAGCAAUGAAGCCUGAUUUUUGCCAUGCUACUGCACUGUGAAACAUUUUACAGCUUUUAACCAUUGCUUACCUUAACCUCCAAAGUAGUAUUAACAUUUAAAAAAGCAUCAUUGGCAUAUUAUUUUAACAUUGUACAUAAAAAUAAGAUAACAUAAAGCCCUUAAGUAAUUUUUAGAUGGUUUGUCAAAGAUAGGUUUUGUGUUAAGUCUUAGAUACAGUACUAUGGGCCUCAUUGUCACAUCUGGAAAAAUCUGGAACUGAAAAACAACGUAACUUCACUGAGUAAAACAGAAUAUUACAUGUAAGGUAAUUCUAAGAAAACAGAUCUGCUCAAAAUCAAGUGGCAGUUUUGAAAAUCAUGCCUUUAUAGCAAGCUGACAUCAGAUACAAUAAAUUAUCCUGGAUUUCUUAACCUUCCUGAGCCACCUUGUUUGUUUUGCUCUGCCAUGCUCUUCAGAGAAAAAAAAAACAAAAAACAUUCUUUAAUGAAAUUUGGCUGACGUCAGAUUUUCUCCCGCUAUAGAUCAGAAUUAGCAAGAUGAUCCUUAAACGUAGCUGUAGUGAAUACUCGUAAUGUUGGGAAAGAUCAUUAGUUCAUGAGCUAGAGCUAUUCCAGCUAAUACUGUGAUUGUGUAGUCUGUGACAGUGCAAAGGUGUGUGCUCAUGUUUGUUCAUCCUGAGCACAGCUCUGAUUGUAAAGUAAACGACAGCAGAGGGGUUAGAUAGAGAAAAAUACGAAUCGCCUAGGACAUAUUUUCCUCUCAGGAACCAGAUGAUUGCUCAACCCAGAUUAGGAACCCUUCAUUAAUUAUUUUCUUUGAUAACUUAAAACAAAUCUCUUACUGAGAGGGAUAAGCAGUCAUUAUUAAACAAGAAUGUUUUAAUCAACAUUGUGACGGACAGAAAAAGGAACCACUUACAGACUCUUACACUCCCUGAAGUAAAGCAGUGGAGCUUCCUCCAGGUUAAGGCAUAGAACUGGAAGGAAGAUGGCAUUAAUUAUACACCUCUAAGAAACAACCAGACAGAAACAACACCCGGAAUUCUUUUUUUUGUUUAAUUUGAUCGUUCUGUAAAUUUUAAUUUGUGUUUAAAACAUCAUCGCUUUCCCUCCAGGCCUCCACACAUAAUUACAGUUGGUGGAGAUUGCUCUAUAUGGUGUUUUCUUGAAGUGUUUUCUUGAAGUUGAUGUAGUAGAACCAGAUUGAGACGUUUUCCUUUGAAUGGUGUUUUAACAGAUUUGUAUUGGUUGUGACAAAAAAAUAAUAAUAAUCAGGAAUCCUAGUUAUAGUGUAUUCUAGUGGAAUAUAGUGCAUGCUGUUAUUCUGUGAUAAACACAAAACGGUACAGUUUGGAUAAAGAGACACCACAAAGGGUCCUUUGAGAGACAGCAUAGCAAUAGUUACCUGUUGCCAAGCCGAAUGAGGUCAGACUCAGAGCUGAAGCAGCACCUCACUUAGUUACUGCUUAUCUUAUACCAGGGGUAAGCAAAGUUGUUCUGGACAGUCCAGGUCUUUGCUCUAACCAAUUAAACAUCCAUCCAGGUCCUAGAGUAGUUAGUUGCUUACAAUCACCUAUUGCAAAGGGGAAUGGUCCACCAGGACUAGGACUGGACCCCCUGUGUUUUAUACAAGCUUCUCUGUAGUAUUGCCCCUCCUUCAGACACAGUGUGGCAAGCAUCAGGUGGCAAUUGUUGGCUUAUUUUGUCAGCUCAUUCUGCUGCUGUUCACCUUUUUUGUAGCUUCCAAGUAACAGGCCCUUCCAUUGCAUUAGCCAAUUGGUCAGUAUUUGAGGGCUUAUUGUACAGUAAAAUACAGUAACAACACAGCUACACAUUAUCCUGAUCCAUAGUCUCAAUCAGAAGGACACAUUGAUUUCUUUACUAUGCAACAGACGUUUAUCCACAUCGUAUAUUUAACUGAUUUUAUUUGUUAUGUUUAGUUUAGUUUAGUUUCUUCACUUUGUGCCCACAGGGCCAGCACAGGUACAUCUCAGUAGUGCAUUACAAAUACAAAGAGAGCCAAGUUACAGAAUAUCCUGACUUGAAUUUUCUUUUUUUAGUUAAUUUGAACUUGGACACGUAAGUUGUGUCUUUGUUAUUAUUAUUAUUAUUAUUAUUAUUAUUAUUAUUAUUAUUAUUAUUAUUAUUAUUAUUAUUAUUAUUUUGUAUAUUAUCACUUGUGACACUUCGGUAUUUGAGGAAAGGCUCUCUUCCUAAGUAGAAAGAUAAAACAGUUCCUAAAUUAACAUCAUAUCAACUUUUGUAUACAACCUGGAAUAAGUAUUUUUGUUGAAGGUCAUUUCAACAACAUAAAGUGUGCCCACAAGAUGCAGUAUGAUGUGAUAGCUUUAGAAAGAAAACUUAUAUUUUAGUGGGUGAGACGAUCAUAUCCAAUAUGCAUGACUAUGUUAGAAACUCAAUAUGCAUUUGUUUUCAAUAUUAGUUUAUUCUUGAGUUUAUAUAAGAUUUUAUUGAAAGGAUUUUAAGAUAUUAGGCUUUUUUGACAGUAUUAUGUAUCACACGGAUGACAUACAGUUUCUAUAGCUAUUAGCCCCAUGCUAUGUAUGUACCAUAACCAACUUAUUGCCUACAAAAAAACAUGUAAGAUAAUGUAUUUACAACCAGUGUUACAAGUUUAUAAUGUAUUUUUCUAUCUUGUUUUUUUUUCCUAAUUUAAAAAAAAAAAAAAAAAAAAGAUUCAAAACGCAAACUUGCGUAUUUGAUAACUGAGAAAUACCAAUUUGUUUUGCAGUACAUUAUUACCGAGAGUGUUGUCUUUCUUGGUUAACAACUGGAUGACUACAUUAAUCACUUUGGGUUUUUACAUUGCUUGCAUUUUACUCCUUUUGGUUCUUUGCUAUUCUUAUUAAUGCAUAGCAUUAUUUUAAUAAAUGUUGCAAUACCAAUCUACUAA